CGGUAGUAGUACAAUAUGAAGCAAGCAUGCAACUCUCGCAGGCAAUUCACAGAAGAACUCCAGCAAUUCUCCUUGAGAUGUGAAUAACUAGAAGACUAGUCACCACUCCUUCCGCUCCAAGCGACUUUGCUUUAAACUUUUGAAAUUCAAAGGCGAGUUUUGAAUGUCAUAACCAACAUUCUCACAUGCUACACAUUUCCAAUCACAACAAUCCUUCCAUUUUUCUUCUACACCAUCAACAUUCAGUGUUGUUGGGACGUUAAGCUGAGACAUGAGAAGGCGAAGGCAACCAAAAUCCCUAAUCCCACUUCGCUUAAUUUCGCGGCACAGAACAGACUCAGACGAAAGCAUUUCUGACGAAGACGACGCCGUUUUCCCCAUCAAUGCGCUUUCCUCAGACAACACCCACAAGCAAGAAUUGCCUCUUGCUGUGCGGCUCGACAUUCUAAAAGGGUACUGCGGUACAGGAAUCAGUGAUCGGAAUUUGUCUGGGAAAGGCACCAGUUCUUCAUCUGAGAAACCGCUUGAAGAUGAGGUUGAGAUGCCUGACUUCAACGAGGGAGAGGUUGUUGCCAAUUCAACUGAUGAAGAAAACAAUUCUGCAGACGGGGAUAACACUGCCGUAUCAGCCCCAAAGCUCUGCAAGUAUGGUCCACAGUCUAUCAGAAACAAACAUAUUAGAGAUAUGACCAAAAUUUCUGAAGCAUUGCUACAUUACAAAGGAAGCGUGUCAGGGUCUCAUAUGACCUGCUCCAAAGCAAAUACAUCUGGGUCACGUAAAUGUGGGGGCAUUGGUUCUUCAAUCCCCCAGAUUGAUAGGUUGCCUAAAAUUUUGAAAGUGGUUGAUCCUAGUAGUUCUGGAAAUUUAGAGGAAAAUCAUCUUGAAGAUGAUGACAAAAUUGAAGUAAAUUCAGACAUUGAGCCUGAUGAAACAGAAGCUUUUCCACGUGAGUUUAAUCUCACCUCAAUGAAUGAGCUCUUUAAUAACAUCCAAGACAAAGCCAAUCAGGCAAGUUUUCAACAAAUAAAAAAUGCCUUCUCUGUAAAGAAAACGCAGACCAUGACAGAGCGAUUUUUGGAAGCUCUAGGGACAUCCUCUGUUAUUACUGAAGAGACUCAUGUUGGAGCUCAUAAUUCAUUGAGUGAUGGAUUGUCUGGAAGACUACAGCAGAUGAUGCUAAAAGAAAAAGAAACAGACAUGGACUUCUGGAAAAAGUUAAAAGCUGGAGCUAGGCCAGAUAGUCAACUUGGCUGCUUUGAUGUAAAAAUCAUUUCAAGAUACCACGAUGGAAAGCUGACUGUUUGUCACUGCUCAUUUGGCAAGUGCAGAGAGAUUAUUUUUGCAGAAUUUUCUGUUGCAAGAUAAUUAUGAAGGAAUGGAGUUUGGUGGCAGCAAAAGCAGCCAUAGCACCAUUAUCUUUAGCCCAAGGGUUUGCAACAAUGUUGACCUUGUAGUUGGGAAUGUGAUCCGAAUUCACCCUCCAUGGAAGGAAGUUCAAGUGGGAAAUGAUAAUAUUAUUCUGUGCACUUAUUUCUCAUAAAUUUGAUGUCCAGUUUUAAUUCAUUUUAGAUUCUUAUCAACCAAGGAAAAUUAUCCAAAGCACCAAACAAAUAUGCUGCUGUUCAGCUUUGGGAACUAGGAAAGGGACUUGUCUCAUUUUACUCGAGUCGAGGUACCUUUAGAUUACUGUACCACUAGCCUUAAAGAUUAUCGGUAGAGAAAAAAAUUACAGAAAAUUUAGAGAGGAUCAUGAAGAAUCUGUUAUGUUAUUAAUAUUUGAUAUUGAUGCACUUUGAAGGUA